rnacentral:rRNA from 1 species
CCUGCCCAAGAGAUCGGGAUAACACCUGGAAACAGAUGCUAAUACCGGAUAACAACAGAUGAUGCCUAUCAACUGUUUAAAAGAUGGUUCUGCUAUCACUCUUGGAUGGACCUGCGGUGCAUUAGCUAGUUGGUAGGGUAACGGCCUACCAAGGCGAUGAUGCAUAGCCGAGUUGAGAGACUGAUCGGCCACAUUGGUACUGAGACACGGCCCAAACUCCUACGGGAGGCAGCAGCC